rnacentral:rRNA from 1 species
AACGAACGCUGGCGGCAUGCCUAACACAUGCAAGUCGAACGAGACCUUCGGGUCUAGUGGCGCACGGGUGCGUAACGCGUGGGAACCUGCCCUUAGGUUCGGAAUAACUCCCCGAAAGGGGUGCUAAUACCGGAUAAUGACUUCGGACCAAAGAUUGAUCGCCUUUGGAUGGGCCCGCGUUGGAUUAGCUAGUUGGUAGGGUAAAAGCCUACCAAGGCGACGAUCCAUAGCUGGUCUGAGAGGAUGAUCAGCCACACUGGGACUGAGACACGGCCCAGACUCCUACGGGAGGCAGCAGUGGGGAAUAUGGGACAAUGGGCGAAAGCCUGAUCCAGCAGUGCCGCGUGAGUGAUUAAGGCCUUAGGGUUGUAAAGCUCUUUUACCCGGGAUGAUAAUGACAGUACCGGGAGAAUAAGCUCCGGCUAACUCCGU